rnacentral:rRNA from 1 species
CAGUCGCCACGGGAAUACGUAGGGUGCGAGCGUUGAUCGGAAUUACUGGGCGUAAAGCGUGCGCAGGCGGUUAUGUAAGACAGUUGUGAAAUCCCCGGGCUCAACCUGGGAACUGCAUCUGUGACUGCAUAGCUAGAGUACGGUAGAGGGGGAUGGAAUUCCGCGUGUAGCAGUGAAAUGCGUAGAUAUGCGGAGGAACACCGAUGGCGAAGGCAAUCCCCUGGACCUGUACUGACGCUCAUGCACGAAAGCGUGGGGAGCAAACAGGAUUAGAUACCCCUGUAGUCCCUGUCUCUUAUAC